rnacentral:lncRNA from 1 species
AGCUCCCGAAAACAAAUAAGACAAUGUGAUGUGGGCUACAUUGGGUGGCAGUCGAGUGUUCUAAAAAUAUCCCGCCAGGAGGAAGGCAUUCCGAGUAGCGGGAUCCCGCGCAGCCUCAGGGCUGCUGGCAGUGAAAGUGGGGGGAUGGAGGAGGUGUCCAGAGGAAAGACCUGGAGAUCUGGAGAUACAGGACGGUCAGGGUGGUCAGAGAAUUUGGAUCUUUUGCUUGUUGGAAAUCGGGACCGCUCCGAGAAACGUAAGCAGCUCGAUGUUGUUAGUGCCAGUGGAGACACUUGGCACUCACAAUUUGCAGACGUUUGGGAAAGCAUCGUUUCUCAAGAGGACCCCGUUCCCGUGUCUGUAAAUCAGAGAUGGUACCCACUUCGUAGUUCGCUGUGAAGCCUGUGAGCGAGGAGGGGCUUUAAAAUACAGAACUUUGCACUGGAGCGCUCCCCGUCCUCGCAGCCUGCUUGGUGUGCAGGUGGUUCCCAGGCGGCUUCUGCUUCCGAAAAGCAGAUCGUCCCUUUAUCUCGAGUCUUCUCCCCGCCUCUCCCUCUUCUCCCUACCCUAUUUGUCUUCUUGGGAACAAAUGGCACAUUCAUCAGAGUGGAGAUCCAUAAACGGGACUGGCGAGCCGAAGAUUUAAUUCUGAAGAAUAGGAUCUGCUCUGUGCUUUCAGGUUAAAAAGCUGUAAAUAUCUUUGUAAUUCUAGCAGUACUUUGCCCUCUUCUGCCAUCUGAACGCGUGCUCCCUGCUGACCUCAUCGGCUCCCAUAAAGAUACGAGAGCACGGGAAACUGAGAAAUGCCUGGAAUAUUUCAUUCACAGAUAAAAUAAUAACCAUCUUGGUAUUCAGAGUCAGCAUUUUCCAACAUAAGUUCAGCAUUCUCCAACAUAAUGCUGCAUUUAUCAACAUAAGUUCAACAACACAACCCACUUCAAGACGUCCUCCAAAGAAAAAAGAGUUUGGAAAACAUCGCAAAAUAAAUCCCUCAGCUUAGGGAAUCAUGACCACACAUUUGCGGGAGAAAGGGGAGGGGAAUGAAUAGUCGUGGGGAGAACAGUUUGGAGGCAGACUGAUACAGAGCCAGUGAUUCAUAUGGAGACCAAUAAGCUCUGGUAUAAAGGUAAGAAAAGAGAUCGGGUGUGGUGGCUCACACCUGUAAUCCCAGCACUUUGGGAGGUCAAGGUGGGCAGAUCAACUGAGGUCAGGAGUUCGAGACCAGCCUGGCCAACAUGGUGAAACCCCGUCUUUACUAAAAAUACAAAAAUUAGCCAGGUCUGGUGGUGUGGCACCUGUAGUCCCA